rnacentral:rRNA from 1 species
GCAGCAGGCGCGAAACCUCCGCAAUGUGAGAAAUCGCGACGGGGGGAUCCCAAGUGCCAUUCUUAACGGGAUGGCUUUUCUUAGUGUAAAGAGCUUUUGGAAUAAGAGCUGGGCAAGACCGGUGCCAGCCGCCGCGGUAACACCGGCAGCUCUAGUGGUAGCUGUUUUUAUUGGGCCUAAAGCGUCCGUAGCCGGUUUGAUAAGUCUCUGGUGAAAUCCUGUGGCUUAACUGUGGGAAUUGCUGGAGAUACUGUUAUACUUGAGAUCGGGAGAGGUUAGAGGUACUCCCAGGGUAGAGGUGAAAUUCUGUAAUCCUGGGAGGACCGCCUGUGGCGAAGGCGUCUAACUGGAACGAUUCUGACGGUGAGGGACGAAAGCUAGGGGCGCGAACCGGAUUAGAUACCCGGGUAGUCCUAGCUGUAAACGAUGCGGACUUGGUGUUGGGAUGGCUUUGAGCUGCUUCAGUGCCGAAGGGAAGUUGUUA